GAAACGCGAUAUUUAGUGCGAAUUGCAGAAUUCAGUGAAUCAUCAAAAUUUUGAACGCAAGUUGCGCUCUUGGGAUAUUCCUGGGAGCAUGCCUCUUUCAGUGUCGGGUCAAACUAUUAUCAUCUCUGAUGAUAAUGUCGUGCGAGUUUGCGCUUUCGGGUGCGAACUUGUUAAGUACCACGCGCAGCUGGUUUCGGUCACUCUGUUUGACGCGCAAUCUUGUACUUGGACAGUUUCUGUUCGGCGUGCAAUUGUCGUCUUGUAAGCAGGUGUGCGCUAAUUCCGCUAAAGUUGUGCCCCAGUCGAAGCUCUCUUGAGCCCUGACAAUCACUCACAACAAUGACCUGAGGGAGGUAAGAUUACCCGCUUGACUUAA
rnacentral:misc_RNA from 1 species